rnacentral:rRNA from 1 species
UACGUAGGGGGCAAGCGUUGUCCGGAUUUAUUGGGCGUAAAGAGCGUGUAGGCGGCCAGACAGGUCCGUUGUGAAAACUCGAGGCUCAACCUCGAGAUGUCGAUGGAAACCGUCUGGCUAGAGUCCGGAAGAGGAGUGUGGAAUUCCUGGUGUAGCGGUGAAAUGCGCAGAUAUCGGGAGGAACACCAAUGGCGAAGGCAGCUCGCUGGGACGUUACUGACGCUGAGACGCGAAAGCGUGGGGAGCAAACAGG